rnacentral:rRNA from 1 species
GUCCACGCCCUAAACGAUGAAUACUCGAUGUUGGCGAUAUACGGUCAGCGUCUAAGCGAAAGCGUUAAGUAUUCCACCUGGGGGAGUACGCCCGCAAGGGUGAAAACUCAAAAGGAAUUGACGGGGGCCCGCACAAGCGGAGGAGCAUGUGGUUUAAUUCGAUGAUACGCGAGGAACCUUACCCGGGCUUGAAAGUUAGUGAAUAGAGCAGAGAUGCUCUAGUCCUUCGGGACACGAAACUAAGGUGCUGCAUGGCUGUCGU